UACGAAGGGGGCUAGCGUUGUUCGGAAUUACUGGGCGUAAAGCGCGCGCAGGCGGUUCUUCAAGUCAGUGGUGAAAGCCCGGAGCUCAACUCCGGAGUUGCCAUUGAAACUGUGGAACUUGAGGAUGAGAGAGGUGAGUGGAAUUCCCAGUGUAGAGGUGAAAUUCGUAGAUAUUGGGAAGAACACCGGUGGCGAAGGCGGCUCACUGGCUCAUUUCUGACGCUCAGGCGCGACAGCGUGGGGAUCAAACAGG
rnacentral:rRNA from 1 species